UUCGACCUCGCUGUAUUUCCUAUACAGCCCCCUGCAUAGCCGUCGCCGACGCAUUCCUUUAUGAAUCAUUUCGCGAUCCAGUCGCCUUCAAGUGCGGCGCGGC
rfam:Pseudomonas sp. M30-35, complete genome.